rnacentral:rRNA from 1 species
AUGCUUAACACAUGCAAGUCGAACGGAAACGAUGGAAGCUUGCUUCCAGGCGUCGAGUGGCGGACGGGUGAGUAAUGCUUGGGAAUCUGCCUAAUAGUGGGGGAAAACUCGGGGAAACUCGGGCUAAUACCGCAUAAUCUCUUCGGAGGAAAGGGGGCCUCUACAUGUAAGCUCUCGCUAAUAGAUGAGCCCAAGUCAGAUCAGCUUGUUGGUGAGGUAAAAGCUCACCAAGGCUACGAUCUGUAGCUGGUCUGAGAGGACGAUCAGCCACACUGGGACUGAGACACGGCCCAGACUCCUACGGGAGGCAGCAGUGGGGAAUAUUGCACAAUGGGCGCAAGCCUGAUGCAGCAAUGCCGCGUGUGUGAAGAAGGCCUUAGGGUUGUAAAGCACUUUCAAUAGAGAAGAAAAGCUUAGAGUUAAUAACUCUAAGCAUUGACGUAACCUAUAGAAGAAGCACCGGCUAAAUCCGUGCCAGCAGCCGCGGUAAUACGGAUGGUGCGAGCGUUAAUCGGAAUUACCGGGCGUAAAGCGCGCGUAGGCUGUUUUAUAAGUCGGAUGUGAAAUCCCCGGGCUCAACCUGGGAACUGCAUCCGAAACUAUUUAACUAGAGUAUGGGAGAGGUAAGUAGAAUUUCCGGUGUAGCGGUGAAAUGCGUAGAUAUCGGAAGGAACACCAGUGG